rnacentral:rRNA from 1 species
UACGUAGGGGGCAAGCGUUGUCCGGAUUCAUUGGGCGUAAAGAGCGUGUAGGCGGCCAGGUAGGUCGGUUGUGAAAACUGGAGGCUCAACCUUCAGAGGUCGACCGAAACCAUCUGGCUAGAGUCCGGGAGAGGAGAGUGGAAUUCCCGGUGUAGCGGUGAAAUGCGUAGAUAUCUGGAGGAACACCGGUGGCGAAGGCGGCAUCCUGGACCGAUACUGACGCUGAGGAGCGAAAGCCAGGGGAGCAAACGAG